CAGAGCGGCCGGAAUGGCUCUCCCUGCCUUUAAAGCAGGGAGAGUUGGUCCGGCCCACGCUGCCCAAUGCAGCGCAGGCCAAUAUCCCUUCCAAACGGGGCUGUGCGGCCCCGUUUAGGAGGUAGACCACGCCCCUCCGUCUGACAUCACAUGCAGGGACAUGGCUAGCUGGGCCCCUGCAUCUGAUGUCAGACACAGGGCCAGGGGGCCACAGCGGCAGCCGCACACAGGCCGCCACCAGCCUCCUUACGCUCCUGCCCAUAUAACUGCUGCUUCAUUAUUCUGGAUGUCGGUCUUUGACUUAUAUAUAUAUAUAUAUAUAUUUUUUUUAAUAUAAAAAAUUUCUAUACCACCCAAAACUCAAGUCUCUGGGUGGUUUACAACAAAAUAAUAAAAACAGAUAAAAAGAUUGAAACAUUACAACAAUUGAAAUGAAAAGUGUUAAAACUAUUACAAACACAAUUAAAACAGUAUCUAAUUAAAGCGUGGGUGAACAAAUGUGUCUUGACUGCCUUUUUAAAAGUUGUAAGAGACAGGGAGGCUCUUAUUUCAGCAGGAAGUGUGUUGCAAAGCCUCGGGGCAGCAACAGAAGAAGACCUGUUCCUAAGUAGCCACCAGACAAGCCGGUGGCAACUGCAGAUGAACCUCUCCAGAUGAUCUCAAUGGUUCACAGCGAAGAAGGUGUUCUUUUAAAUAUUUCAUCCAACAGUGCUCCACACCCAUAAGCCAACAUUUUGUCAACCCCCCAAAUAUGUUGCUGAUUUAUAAAUAAGGCUUUUAAUAUUUUAGGCAUGUGGAAUUCUAGCUCCUUGCCCUGUAGAAACUGGGUCUUUGUGCUAUUCUGACAAUGUUAGUGUAUCAUGUAAAUCACAAAUGAGGACUGUGACAGAAUUAGUUCAGCUAGAUUACAUUCUUAUUAUGUCUAUUACUUUGUACUCUUUUUGAGUCUCCAAAGAACAGAUGCCAGCAUGUGCACAUGGAGACACACAACACAAAUGCAGAAUUAUGAACUGAGAAAGACUGAACCCAUGCUGAUUUCAGAAAAUUGCAAGAUCUACCUCCUUGACUGGCCCUUCGGCGAUGCCUGCGAUGGAGAUGGGUUAGGCUCUGGCUCCUGCUGCGUUGGAAUCUGGCCAUUUCCCCCGCUACAUUUGAAUCUGGUCAAGUGCUUGUCCUUGUGAGCACCACCUGUCCUUGAUAACCCUUUCAGACCUUGUGAUUUGCUCUGGCAUCUUUGAUAAUUUAAUAAGCAAACUGCAAUGCUAAUACAGACUAAUGAAGUCACAUUCAUUUGUGACAAAAUGCAGAUCAUGGGCCUCCCUAUCUGGGACUACAAGAGGUGUGUGUGUCCGUGUAAAAUAAUUUAAGAAGAAGCACUGUUGUUCUAAAAAUUUGUACCCUGAAGUUUUAUACACAUGCACACUUUUUUUUUUUUUUAAGAAAGUGCUAAACGUCAAGGAGAGUGAUGGUGUCCUGAGAACAAUGGGGAAAGAAAUGUGAAUGAGAGAUGUUUGGGCUGGUGGAGGGCAGAUCUUUUGAUAUGAGAGUUUGGGGGAGCAAUCAUGGAGAGAGGAGCUUAGAUGUCUUGGAGUUGGGAGCUGCAUGAGCAACAAGGAACUUGUGACAACAGUGAUGCUGAUAAAAGCUUUUGUCAGACAAAAUGUGGAAGGGCAUCACAUUGGAGGUUUAUGCCAAGGUGUAUUUUGAGAACACUGAUCCUACUUCUGGCACCCUCCCCAUUAAAGCCAAUUAUUACUUGA